rnacentral:rRNA from 1 species
GCUUGCUUCUUUGGAUCAGUGGCGAACGGGUGAGUAACACGUGAGUAACCUGCCCCAGACUCUGGGAUAAGCACUGGAAACGGUGUCUAAUACCGGAUACGAGCUUCAGCCGCAUGGCUAGGAGCUGGAAAGAAUUUCGGUCUGGGAUGGACUCGCGGCCUAUCAGCUAGUUGGUGAGGUAAUGGCUCACCAAGGCGACGACGGGUAGCCGGCCUGAGAGGGUGACCGGCCACACUGGGACUGAGACACGGCCCAGACUCCUACGGGAGGCAGCAGUGGGGAAUAUUGCACAAUGGGCGCAAGCCUGAUGCAGCAACGCCGCGUGAGGGACGACGGCCUUCGGGUUGUAAACCUCUUUUAGUAGGGAAGAAGCGAAAGUGACGGUACCUGCAGAAAAAGCACCGGCUAACUACGUGCCAGCAGCCGCGGUAAUACGUAGGGUGCAAGCGUUAUCCGGAAUUAUUGGGCGUAAAGAGCUCGUAGGCGGUUUGUCGCGUCUGCUGUGAAAACUGGAGGCUCAACCUCCAGCCUGCAGUGGGUACGGGCAGACUAGAGUGCGGUAGGGGAGAUUGGAAUUCCUGGUGUAGCGGUGGAAUGCGCAGAUAUC